rnacentral:rRNA from 1 species
GAGUUUGAUCCUGGCUCAGGAUGAACGCUGGCGGUAUGCUUAACACAUGCAAGUCGAACGAAAGUUUUUAACUUUAGUGGCGAACGGGUGCGUAAUACGUGAGAAUCUGCCCUUAGGAGGAGAAUAACUUCUGGAAACGGUUGCUAAGUCUCCAUAUGCCGAGAGGUGAAAUAGUUUAUACUGCCUAGGGAUGAGCUCACGCCUGAUUAGCUUGUUGGUAAGGUAAUGGCUUACCAAGGCCACGAUCAGUAGCUGGUUUGAGAGAACGAUCAGCCACACUGGGACUGAGACACGGCCCAGACUCCUCCGGGAGGCAGCAGUGAGGAAUUUUCCGCAAUGGGCGAAAGCCUGACGGAGCAAUACCGCGUGAGGGAUGAAGGAUUUUGGUCUGUAAACCUCUUUUCUCAAGAAAGAAGUUCUGACGGUACUUGAGGAAUAAGCAUCGGCUAACUCCGUGCCAGCAGCCGCGGUAAUACGGGGGAUGCAAGCGUUAUCCGGAAUCAUUGGGCGUAAAGCGCCUGUAGGUUGUUUAAUAAGUCUGUUGUUGAAGACUAGGGCUUAACCCUAGGAAAGCAAUGGAAACUACUAGACUUGAGUAUGAUAGGGGUAGAGGGAAUUUCUAGUGUAGCGGUGAAAUGCGUAGAUAUUAGGAAGAACACCGGUGGCGAAGGCGCUCUACUGGAUCAUUACUGACACUCAGAGGCGAAAGCUAGGGUAGCAAAAGGGAUUAGAUACCCCAGUAGUCCUAGCUGUAAACGAUGGGGACUAAACUUUGGUUUUAAGAAUCAGAGUUAAAGCUAACGCGUUAAGUCCCCCGCCUGGGGAGUACGCCCGCAAGAGUGAAACUCAAAGGAAUUGACGGGACCCGCGCAAGCGGUGGAGCAUGUGGUUUAAUUCGAUGCAACGCGAAGAAUCUUACCAGGGCUUGACAUACUAUGAAUCACUAUGAAAAUAGCCGAGCCGAAAGGCACAGAUACAGGUGGUGCAUGGCUGUCGUCAGCUCGUGUCGUGAGAUGUUGGGUUAAGUCCCGCAACGAGCGCAACCCUUAUCCUCAGUUACCUUUUAGGAACCUGAGGAGACUGCCGGUGUUAAGCCGGAGGAAGGUGAGGACGACGUCAAGUCAUCAUGCCCCUUAUGCCCUGGGCUACUCACGUGCUACAAUGGAUAGGACAAUGGGAUGCCACCCUGCGAAGGCGAGCUAACCCCAAAAACCUAUUCUUAGUUCGGAUUGUAGGCUGCAACUCGCCUACAUGAAGCUGGAAUCGCUAGUAAUCGCUGGUCAGCUAUACAGCGGUGAAUACGUUCUCGGGUCUUGUACACACCGCCCGUCACACCAUGGAAAUUGGCUAUACCCAAAAUCGUGACCCUAACCUUUGGAUGGGAGCGCUUAAGGUAGAGCCAGUAACUAGGGUGAAGUCGUAACAAGGUAACC